rnacentral:rRNA from 1 species
GAUGAACGCUGGCGGCGUGCCUAAUACAUGCAAGUCGAGCGAACGGACGCGACGCUUGCUUCUCUGAUGUUAGCGGAGGACGGGUGAGUAACACGUGGAUAACCUCCCUAUAAGACUGGGAUAACUUCGGGAAACCGGAGCUAAUACCGGAUAAUAUUUUGAACCGCAUGGUUCAAAAGUGAAAGACGGUCUUGCUGUCACUUAUCGAUGGAUCCGCGCUGCAUUAGCUAGUUGGUAAGGUAACGGCUUACCAAGGCAACGAUGCAUAGCCGACCUGAUAGGGGGAUCGGCCACACUGGAACUGGAACACGGUCCAGACUCCUACGGGACGCAGCAGUAGGGAAUCUUCCGCAAUGGGCGAAAGCCUGACGGAGCAACGCCGCGUGAGUGAUGAAGGUCUUCGGAUCGUAAAACUCUGUUAUUAGGUAAGAACAUAUGUGUAAGUAACUGUGCACAGCUUGACGGUACCUAAUCAGAAAGCCACGGCUAACUACGUG